rnacentral:tRNA from 1 species
GUAGUUCAGUUGGUUAGAAUACCGGCCUGUCACGCCGGGGGUCGCGGGUUCGAAUCCCGUCCACUCC